UUUUAUGGAGAGUUUGAUCCUGGCUCAGGAUGAACGCUGGCGGCGUGCCUAAUACAUGCAAGUCGAGCGAACAGACGAGGAGCUUGCUCCUCUGACGUUAGCGGCGGACGGGUGAGUAACACGUGGAUAACCUACCUAUAAGACUGGGAUAACUUCGGGAAACCGGAGCUAAUACCGGAUAAUAUAUUGAACCGCAUGGUUCAAUAGUGAAAGACGGUUUUGCUGUCACUUAUAGAUGGAUCCGCGCCGCAUUAGCUAGUUGGUAAGGUAACGGCUUACCAAGGCAACGAUGCGUAGCCGACCUGAGAGGGUGAUCGGCCACACUGGAACUGAGACACGGUCCAGACUCCUACGGGAGGCAGCAGUAGGGAAUCUUCCGCAAUGGGCGAAAGCCUGAC
rnacentral:rRNA from 1 species